GGCUUCCCUUGCAGUGUAGCUUCUACUGAGAUCUUGACAGUGGUAUCAACUGAAUUUCCAUAAGAUGGCACAUCUGUGGCAGUUUCCGCCAUACUUGACCCAAUAUUGCUCCUCUCAAGAGGCUAAUCUGGAGUCAUCUUCUAGACCUUGCUCCUUUGCCACCGAAUCACCCCCAGUUUCUGAAGAUUGUUGACCAUCACUCGUUGUAUUUUCAUGCUUUUCUAACAGCGCAAAACCACUAUAGUUAUUGUCAUCCUCUUCCUUCCACAUUCCUGAUCCAGUUGCAUCAUUGUUGAAUUUAGUCUCUGCAUUAUCCAGAGAUUCUUGCUUUUUAUCAACAGUCAAUGGUUCCGGCUUUCUCAACAGAGUCAUAUCA
rnacentral:misc_RNA from 1 species